GACGAACGCUGGCGGCGUGCCUAAUACAUGCAAGUAGAACGCUGAAGGAGGAGCUUGCUCUUCUGGAUGAGUUGCGAACGGGUGAGUAACGCGUAGGUAACCUGCCUGGUAGCGGGGGAUAACUAUUGGAAACGAUAGCUAAUACCGCAUAAGAGUAGAUGUUGCAUGACAUUUACUUAAAAGGUGCAAUUGCAUGACUACCAGAGGGACCGGCGUUGUAUUAGCUAGUUGGUGGGGGAACGGCUUACCAAGGCGACGAUACAUAGCCGACCUGAGAGGGUGGUCCGCCACACUGGGACUGAGACACGGCCCAGGCUCCUUCGGGGGGGCGCCGUAGGGGAACUUUGGCCAUGGGCGGAAGUCUGGCCGCGCCACGCCGCGUGAGUGGAGGAGGUUUUCGGGUCGUAAAGCUCUGUUGUAAGGGAAGAACGAGUGUGAGAGUGGAAAGUUCACACUGUGACGGUAUCUUACCAGAAAGCGACGGCUAACUACGUG
rnacentral:rRNA from 1 species